GUCCACGCCCUAAACGAUGUGUGCUAGUUGUUGGGCCUUUUAGGUUCAGUGACGCAGCUAACGCAUUAAGCACACCGCCUGGGGAGUACGGUCGCAAGAUUAAAACUCAAAGGAAUUGACGGGGACCCGCACAAGCGGUGGAGUAUGUUGUUUAAUUCGAAGCAACGCGAAGAACCUUACCUACACUUGACAUACCUAUCGGGAUUUUCAGAGAUGAUUAUCUUCGGUUCGGCCGGAUAGGAUACAGGUGCUGCAUGGCU
rnacentral:rRNA from 1 species